rnacentral:rRNA from 1 species
UACGUAGGGGGCAAGCGUUGUCCGGAUUUAUUGGGCGUAAAGAGCGUGUAGGCGGCCUGACAAGUCUGCUGUGAAAACUCGAGGCUCAACCUCGAGAUGUCGGCGGAAACUGUCUGGCUAGAGUCCGGAAGAGGAGAGUGGAAUUCCUGGUGUAGCGGUGAAAUGCGCAGAUAUCAGGAGGAACACCUAUUGCGAAGGCAGCUCGCUGGGACGUAACUGACGCUGAGACGCGAAAGCGUGGGGAGCAAACAGG